rnacentral:rRNA from 1 species
GAUGAACGCUGGCGGCGUGCCUAAUACAUGCAAGUCGAGCGAACAGACGAGGAGCUUGCUCCUCUGACGUUAGCGGCGGACGGGUGAGUAACACGUGGAUAACCUACCUAUAAGACUGGGAUAACUUCGGGAAACCGGAGCUAAUACCGGAUAAUAUAUUGAACCGCAUGGUUCAAUAGUGAAAGACGGUUUUGCUGUCACUUAUAGAUGGAUCCGCGCCACAUUAGCUAGUUGGUAAGGUAACGGCUUACCAAGGCAACGAUGCGUAGCCGACCUGAGAGGGUGAUCGGCCACACUAGAACUGAGACACGGUCCAGACUCCUACGGGAGGCAGCAGUAGGGAAUCUUCCGCAAUGGGCGAAAGCCUGACGGAGCAACGCCGCGUGAGUGAUGAAGGUCUUCGGAUCGUAAAACUCUGUUAUUAGGGAAGAACAAAUGUGUAAGUAACUAUGCACGUCUUGACGGUACCUAAUCAGAAAGCCACGGCUAACUACGUG